GACGAACGCUGGCGGCGUGCUUAACACAUGCAAGUCGAGCGGUAAGGCCCUUUCGGGGGUACACGAGCGGCGAACGGGUGAGUAACACGUGGGUGACCUGCCCUUAGCUCUGGGAUAAGCCUGGGAAACUGGGUCUAAUACCGGAUAUGACUCCAUAACGCAUGUUGUGGGGUGGAAAGCCUUGUGCGGCUAGGGAUGGGCCCGCGGCCUAUCAGCUUGUUGGUGGGGUGAUGGCCUACCAAGGCGACGACGGGUAGCCGGCCUGAGAGGGCGACCGGCCACACUGGGACUGAGACACGGCCCAGACUCCUACGGGAGGCAGCAGUGGGGAAUCUUGCGCAAUGGGCGAAAGCCUGACGCAGCGACGCCGCGUGGGGGAUGACGGCCU
rnacentral:rRNA from 1 species